GGGCCCGUAGCUUAGCCUGGUGGAGCGCUGCUCUGAUAAGGCAGAGGUCGUGUGUUCAAAUCACAUCGGGCCCA
rnacentral:tRNA from 1 species